rnacentral:rRNA from 1 species
AUUGAACGCUGGCGGCAGGCCUAACACAUGCAAGUCGAGCGGAUGAAGGGAGCUUGCUCCUGGAUUCAGCGGCGGACGGGUGAGUAAUGCCUAGGAAUCUGCCUGGUAGUGGGGGAUAACGUCCGGAAACGGGCGCUAAUACCGCAUACGUCCUGAGGGAGAAAGUGGGGGAUCUUCGGACAUCACGCUAUCAGAUGAGCCUAGGUCGGAUUAGCUAGUUGGUGGGGUAAAGGCCUACCAAGGCGACGAUCCGUAACUGGUCUGAGAGGAUGAUCAGUCACACUGGAACUGAGACACGGUCCAGACUCCUACGGGAGGCAGCAGUGGGGAAUAUUGGACAAUGGGCGAAAGCCUGAUCCAGCCAUGCCGCGUGUGUGAAGAAGGUCUUCGGAUUGUAAAGCACUUUAAGUUGGGAGGAAGGGCAGUAAGUUAAUACCUUGCUGUUUUGACGUUACCAACAGAAUAAGCACCGGCUAACUUCGUG